UGGGGAAUAUUGGACAAUGGGCGCAAGCCUGAUCCAGCCAUGCCGCGUGAGUGAUGAAGGCCUUAGGGUUGUAAAGCUCUUUCGCCGGUGAAGAUAAUGACGGUAACCGGAGAAGAAGCCCCGGCUAACUUCGUGCCAGCAGCCGCGGUAAUACGAAGGGGGCUAGCGUUGCUCGGAAUCACUGGGCGUAAAGCGCACGUAGGCGGAUCGUUAAGUCAGGGGUGAAAUCCUGGAGCUCAACUCCAGAACUGCCCUUGAUACUGGCGAUCUCGAGUUCGAGAGAGGUUGGUGGAACUCCGAGUGUAGAGGUGAAAUUCGUAGAUAUUCGGAAGAACACCAGUGGCGAAGGCGGCCAACUGGCUCGAUACUGACGCUGAGGUGCGAAAGCGUGGGGAGCAAAACAGGAUUAGAUACCCUGGUAGUCCACGCCGUAAAACGAUGGAUGCUAGCCGUUGGGGGGUUUACCUCUCAGUGGCGCAGCUAACGCCUUAAGCAUCCCGCCUGGGGAGUACGGUCGCAAGAUUAAAACUCAAAUGAA
rnacentral:rRNA from 1 species